AACCUGGUUGAUCCUGCCAGUAGUCAUACGCUCGUCUCAAAGAUUAAGCCAUGCAUGUGUAAGUAUAAGAUACUUUAUCGAAACUGCGGACGGCUCAUUAUAUCAGUUAUAGUUUAUUUGAUAGUCCCUUACUACUUGGAUAACCGUAGUAAUUCUAGAGCUAAUAUAUGCAUCAAAGCGGAACUCUCGGGAACCGCCGCGUUUAUUAGGUAUUAACACCUUCACUCUUC
rnacentral:rRNA from 1 species